UUGCUCUGCUGCGAGCGGCACCGCCCUCACCGCGCUUCCCAGCGCUGCCGGUGCUGCUGCUGCUGCUACUGCUGCCGCCACCUCGGAAGCCUCCGGAGGGAUGAGGAGUGCGGCCGUGGGGCGCUGCCUGGCUCCGGGGCUGCCGCCCAGGCGCGGGCUGUGCGGGCGGGGCGGCGGCGCGGCGGCACGCAAAAUCACUGAGAAUGCAAAGAAAUCAUUGGCCUCUCUUAAGAGAGAAAAUCCUCUGCUUGAGCCAACACUUGCCAUUAUUCAGGCACAUAAUCAUAAUUUUAUUGAAGAAAUAAACAAGAACUUCGCCAAAGAGGUUGGUCUACGUGUUAGUCACAUCUGUCUCCCUGAAGGCAGCAGCAAGGAUGAGAUCGUCAAUGAAAUCUUGAGACUUAAUGAGGAUCCUAACGUGCAAGGCCUUGCCCUUGAUCUCCCAGAAAGCUUAUAUAGCAGUAAGGUUUUAAAUGCUGUGAAACCAGAGAAGGAUGUGGAUGGAUUAUCCGAUGUAAACCUAGGACGCUUGGUACGUGGUGAUUCCUCUGACUGUGUAGUUCCUCCUACAGUGUGUGCUGUGAUGGAGCUUCUUGGUGACUUAGGUGGAAAGACUGUGCUGCUGGUGGGAGCUGGCGGGGCCGUGGGCGCUGCCUUGCAGUGCAUGCUGCAGAGGAAGGGAGCAGUGACCGUGAGCUGCCAGUGGAAUGACCCUCAGCUGCAGACCAAGCUUCAUCAGGUGGAUGUGGUGGUAGUUGGCAGUACAAAACCUGAUGAUGUUCCCGUGAGCUGGAUAAUGCCUGGAAUUCCCGUUAUCAGUUGCUUUCGUGACUUGCUGUCAGAGAAACACAGCAACGAUCAUCAAAACAAUCAUGCUGCUGAAAACGCUAUUGGUUCUCUUGCAAUAGCAAUGCGAAUGCAGAACAUGGUAAAAACCAUGGAGCGAUGGAUCCAGUCCCAGCAGUAUAGGAAGUGGGACCUCCACUGCUUGAAACUGCAGCCCCUCUCCCCGGUGCCCAGUGAUAUUGAGAUUUCCCGAGCACAGAAUCCAAAAGCUGUUGAUGUACUUGCCAAAGAGAUAGGAUUGCUUACAGAUGAAAUUGAGAGCUAUGGCCAAACCAAAGCCAAAGUACGUUUGUCCCUGCUGGAAAGGUUAAAGGAUCAACCAGAUGGAAAAUAUGUUCUAGUUGCUGGAAUAACCCCUACACCCCUAGGAGAGGGGAAAAGCACUGUCACAAUUGGUCUCGUUCAGGCGCUUACUGCACACCUUAACAUUAAUUCCUUUGCUUGUCUGAGACAGCCUUCCCAAGGACCUACUUUUGGAGUUAAAGGUGGAGCAGCUGGUGGUGGAUAUGCUCAAGUCAUUCCAAUGGAGGAGUUCAAUCUUCAUUUGACUGGAGAUAUUCAUGCUAUAACUGCUGCAAAUAAUUUGCUGGCAGCUGCUAUUGAUGCUAGGAUCUUGCAUGAGAACACUCAGUCUGAUAAGGCUUUGUAUAAUAGACUGGUGCCCUUAGUUAAUGGUGAGAGAGGAUUUUCUGCUAUUCAGCUUGCCCGUCUAAGUAGGCUAGGAAUAAACAAGACUGAUCCUAGGACUUUGACAGAAGAGGAGAUCAGCAAAUUUGCACGCCUUGACAUUGAUCCAUCUACCAUAACAUGGCAAAGAGUGGUGGAUACAAAUGACAGAUUCCUGCGCAAAAUAACAAUUGGGCAAGCAAAUACAGAGAAAGGAUUUGUCCGUCAGGCUCAGUUUGAUAUCGCUGUUGCAAGUGAAAUUAUGGCCAUCCUGGCACUUACGACCAGCCUGCAAGAUAUGAAGGAGAGGUUGGGGAAAAUGGUGGUGGCUAAUAACAAGAAAGGAGAACCAGUAACAGCAGAUGAUUUGGGAGUAACGGGUGCUUUGGCAGUUUUGAUGAAAGAUGCAAUUAAGCCAACGCUAAUGCAAACGUUAGAGGGAACACCAGUAUUUGUUCAUGCUGGACCUUUUGCUAACAUUGCACAUGGAAAUUCUUCUGUUUUGGCAGAUAAAAUUGCCCUUAAAUUAGUGGGAGAGAAGGGAUUUGUAGUAACUGAAGCUGGCUUUGGUGCUGACAUUGGAAUGGAGAAAUUCUUCAACAUCAAAUGCAGAGCCUCUGGCUUGAUUCCCAGUGUGGUUGUACUUGUUGCUACAGUGAGGGCUUUGAAGAUGCAUGGAGGUGGGCCAAAUGUAACUUCUGGUGCCCCCCUGAAGAAAGAAUACACAGAAGAGAACCUCCAGCUGGUAGCUGAUGGCUGCUGUAAUCUACAGAAACAGAUUCAAAUUACCCAGCUCUUUGGAGUUCCUGUUGUGGUUGCUCUAAAUGUCUUCAAAACUGACUCUCCUGCUGAGGUUGAUCUUGUGUGUAAGAUUGCAAAGCAGUCUGGAGCGUUUGAUGCUGUACCCUGCAAUCACUGGUCGGCUGGUGGUAGAGGAGCAGUAAAAUUAGCUCAAGCUGUGGAAAAGGCGGCCAAUCAGAAAAACAGUUUCAAAUAUCUCUACAGCUUGGAGCUUCCUAUUGUUGAAAAAAUAAGGAUCAUUGCUCAGAAGGUGUAUGGAGCCCAGGAUAUAGAGUUGUCUCCCACUGCACAGUCACAAAUUGAUCGUUACACUCGGCAGGGAUUUGGAAAUCUUCCCAUUUGUAUGGCAAAAACUCACCUAUCCCUUUCCCAUCAGCCUGAGCGGAAGGGCGUUCCCACUGGUUUCAUUCUGCCGAUUAGUGAUGUGAGAGCCAGUAUUGGAGCUGGAUUCAUCUACCCUUUGGUAGGAACGGUGAGUGCAGAGUAUUCAUCUUGAUCACUCCCCUUCCUUUGACCGAACUGGACAGGGAAGUGCAUUUCCUGUUUGCCUGUAAAAAUAAUGCAUACAACCAGAUGAGCACCAUGCCAGGACUGCCCACAAGGCCAUGCUUCUAUGACAUUGACCUUGACCCUGUCACAGAGCAAGUGAAAGGAUUGUUUUGAGAGUGAUGUCCAAAUUCAGAAGCCUGGAAAUUAAGAACUGCAACUUUCCUGUUUCCUGCAAGUAGGAGACAAAAAUGAAUCUGAAAUAUUCCUGUUAUGUGUCUCUGGAGGAAUGUCAAGAUAGACCAAAGAGCAAAAGUUUACUCUUUCUUCAAACUAGUUUUUAUGAUGAAAUAUAGCUGUAAGGUUAAAAAAAGGGGGGGGGAGGGAGCAAGCUGAAGUUUUUCUUGUUGUACUGCAGAAAGCUCUCUACUGGGACUUUACUUGUUUGUGGAUAAAAAAACAUUGAAAAGAGAGGACUUUUUUACCUUGGAGUUUUUGUCUUUUCUCAAAGGAGUUUACAGAAGUAUUUCCCUUAUCUUGGUGAUCGAAAAACCUGCAUAAACAUUAUUAUAAUCUACGAUCAAGCCUAUUUCUCUCUGAAAAAUACUCUAUUGCUCCUGGCAUUCAGGAGCCGAAACUACACACAGAUUAACUGCACAUUUUUGAGUUAUCAUCAAGUGUUGCUCUAGAUGCAUUUGGCCAACAGCCAAGUUUCAAGCAAGGGAGAUAUUAAGCAGAGAAAGAACAGAGCAUGUAUUUUGUAAAAGAUUUUUAAUAUACAAUUUAUUUCCUUGUUGGGCAAAGUUCUUUUGACACACUUAAGCCAUAGCUGUCUCAUAUGCAUAGGUCUCUGUUUAUCCAAAGCUUAUGUUGCAGGAUGUCCAGCUGAUUUUGUGUUGUGGUAAAGCUGGUUGUUCAGUGAGGGCACUGCUCCUUCUGAAACCCAGUUUUGCUCCUGUUCGUGGCUAAUGAAGCCUCCUGCUGUGCUGGCUCUCAACCUGGAGUUUUUCUUGUCCUGUCCCUGGCGCUACACAAUGCCCAGUAACAACAGAGGAAUGUCCAUCAAUCAGGAAUGUGACAGAGCAGAGCUUUGUUCUACUUAAUUUUGUAGGUUUUAACCACCAUACUUGGAAAACUGGAGUGUGUUUUCUAUUUGAAGGGGGUACUCAAACAAGUUAAAUCCUAAAGCAUGUGCUUUAAUUUACCUUAGUUAAUUUACCUUGUCUAGUUUUUCUUAAAUCUGCAGCAAAACAAGCCUUAGGUACGGGAUACUGCAUUUAGCUUUUCGAGCUGCUUCUCCUCAGGAAACUCCCUCUGUGACUGACUGUUGGUUCACUUCGAUAACAAAAAAUACAACAGAACAAUAGGUUCAAUCGAGACAAUAGGCUUUUUUUUUUUUUUUUUAAGGUAAAAAGCAGUUAAACAUUGAUGAGAGAGUUUAUUUUCCUGGUGACGUUUUCCAUCCUGUCACUUUGCUCUGCUUACGCACAUCUGUAUGUUAUGGGCUUCUGCAAUGUAGCUUUGGUUCCCUUCGACACAGCCACAUUUGGAGACUUAAUUAUCUCGGGAACUGUGUUGUAAUUGAGGAGUUUGUUUUGUUUUUUAAAUCAUGCUUCGUUAUUUAUAAACUCAAAACUAUAAUUAUGGACAGAAGAGCAAAGUGGGGACAAUUAAAAUAAUUAUCUGUGCCUUCCCUGGAGUAGCACGGAAAUAUCUGUUGCCUGCAUUUCAGAACUGUUCUAUUCAUAGCGUGAUCCCCCAGCACUGUGGGGAUUGCUGCGAAGUAAAAUGCAAAAAAAUAAUUAUUUGAUGUUUUAGCCUGAUUAGGUGAUAGAGUUCAUAACAGCCUAGGCUAGGAAUGCUUUAAUUACACUGUAGCUGGACAAACAUGAUCAGUAGAAAGCAAGAUUCAAGUAUGGCUCUCUAAGCUACUGGGGAGAGAAAUACUGACAUUUUCUAUUAAAUUGUGUCUCAAAAUACAACUGUGCUGUUCAUCCACAUAACUGUGUUGCAAUAUAGCCUUGCAAGCACUGGGCUAUCUAGCCUAGAAAAAUCCAAAGACUUUUUUAAGAAAAUAAGUGUGGUUUCCAGCCAUAGUUUUCCUUAUAGAGUCCUCGCAAGAAAAACAAAUAUGACUUUCCUUCCAUCUUACCCAGAGAAAUUUGGAAAACCAUAACUGUGCCUUACUUGUGGUCCCUGUGGCUCCACUGCGAGUGUGCUGGAUGUAUCUCCAUGCAGUAUGGGAUAUUAAAUGUGGCACUAUCUGGCUGCCUGUAAAGUUUCCAUAAGGAAUAUGGUUGUCUGAGCCACAGGUUUUAAUAACUCAUUUCAAACUGCUGCUUGAUACCCAUUGCUUUCGGUGUUGUAGUCUCCGUGUUGUCCCUUCAGGUCUCACGUGCUGCAACUGUUUAUCUGACCCAUCAGUCUCUCCCUAAAAUACCAUUCCAGCUCAGUUAGUUGAGAGUUGACAAACAUCCUGUAAUUUUUUUCUACUUUCGUAUGCACAGGAAUUUUUAUAUUGUUUUGAUAGCCUCAGUGAUCCAAGGAAAGCUGAAAGGGCUCUUAUAAUUUUACCCGCCCAUCUAGUUAACUAUGUGCAAAUUCUCCUGAACUAUUACAUUUUUAGUUCUUAUUUUUACAUUUUAGUGAAAUAUUUGUUAAAAAUGAUCCACAUUGACCUGCAGGUUCUGUCUCACAUCCGAAGGGACCAAGUUACUGGCCAUCACCUGAGCUGCAGAAACUGCCACAGUGCAAAGUUCCCAGCCCAAAUGCCUUCAAGCAGGGUUUAAAAUGAAAUCUUUUUAAGGUAACCGUUAUUGCUAGGUGUGCCACUUGUUGCUGCAUGGAUGCAAUUGUAGGUGAGAGACUCCUGCCUUUGCAUCUGCUCUGAGCAACUUUGUGACAUGGCAGAAGGGCAGCUUCAUAAAGCUACUUGCUGUGUUUAUCCCUGCGUUUGCUAAAGCACGUUAAGAACUAUGCCAUUGUUUAUUAUCAGAAGAUCUGCUUUUUGUAGUGACUGGAUACUUUGUUAUUGCUACUGCUAAACUACAGAAAACUAGUGACGUUGAAAUACAUCAGGCUACAUACAACAGGUUUCUUUAUAUUUCAAAAUUCAAAAAUCUGAGAAUUUCAGUUGCCAUGAACAUGAAAAUCGUAUAUGUUUAUACUGAUGUUUAGAUUAUACAUGGUGCCUAUCUCAUGUCUGAAUUCAUUAAUAAACUAC